rnacentral:rRNA from 1 species
GAGAUAUUUGAGUAGUUUACUACGAUGAUAUCUUAGCGGCGGACGGGUGAGUAACGCGUGGGCAACCUGCCUUACAGAGGGGGAUAACAGUGCGAAAGCACUGCUAAUACCGCAUGACAUUGUCGGUUCGCAUGAACUGACAAUCAAAGGAGAAAUCCGCUGUAAGAUGGGCCCGCGUCUGAUUAGCUAGUUGGUGGGGUAAAAGCUUACCAAGGCGACGAUCAGUAGCCGAUCUGAGAGGAUGACCGGCCACACUGGAACUGAGACACGGUCCAGACUCCUACGGGAGGCAGCAGUGGGGAAUAUUGCGCAAUGGGGGAAACCCUGAUGCAGCAACGCCGCGCGAAGGAUGAAGGUCUUCGGACUGUAAACUUCUUUGAUGAGGGACGAAAAAAUGACGGUACCUCAAAAACAAGCCACGGCUAACUACGUGCCAGCAGCCGCGGUAAUACGUAGGUGGCAAGCGUUGUCCGGAAUUAUUGGGCGUAAAGGGCGCGUAGGCGGUUCUUUAAGUCAGAUGUGAAAUCCCGAGGCUCAACUUCGGGCGUGCAUUUGAAACUGGAGGACUAGAGUGCAGGAGAGGUAAGUGGAAUUCCUAGUGUAGCGGUGAAAUGCGUAGAUAUUAGGAGGAACACCAGUGGCGAAGGCGACUUACUGGACUGUAACUGACGCUGAGGCGCGAAAGCGUGGGGAGCAAACAGGAUUAGAUACCCUGGUAGUCCACGCUGUAAACGAUGGAUACUACGUGUGGGAGGUAUCGACCCCUUCCGUGCCGGAGUAAACGCAAUAAAUAUCCCGCCUGGGGAGUACGGCCGCAAGGUUGAAACUUAAAGGAAUUGACGGGGGCCCGCACAAGCAGCGGAGCAUGUGGUUUAAUUCGAAGCAACGCGAAGAACCUUACCAGGACUUGACAUCCCUUGCAUUACUCGUAACGGAGGAAAUCGUUCGGGACAAGGAGACAGGUGGUGCAUGGUAGUUGUCAGCUCGUGUCGUGAGAUGUGGGUCUAAGUCGCGCAACGAGCGCAACCCUUAUCGUUAGCUGCUAACAGUCAGAUGAGCACUCUAGGGAGACUGCCGGGGACAACUCGGAGGAAGGUGGGGAUGACGUCAAAUCAUCAUGCCCAUUAUGUUCUGGGCUACACACUUGCUACAAUGGGUAAAACAACGGGAAGCAAGCUAGUGAUAGCAAGCAAAUCCCUGAAAGUUACUGUCAGUUCGGAUCGUAGGCUGCAACUCGCCUACUUGAAGUUGGAGUUGCUAGUAAUCGCGAAUCAGAAUGUCGCGGUGAAUACGUUCCCGGGCUUUGUACACACC